UUUGAUCCUGGCUCAGGAUGAACGCUGGCGGCGUGCCUAACACAUGCAAGUCGAACGAAGCACAUGCCUGGAACCCUCCGGGGGAAGGGCAUAUGACUGAGUGGCGGACGGGUGAGUAACGCGUGGGCAACCUGCCCCGCACUGGGGGACAACAGCCGGAAACGGCUGCUAAUACCGCAUAUGCGCACAGCUUUGCAUGAAGCAGUGUGGAAAACUCCGGUGGUGCGGGAUGGGCCCGCGUCUGAUUAGCUGGUUGCGGGGGCAACGGCCCACCAAGGCGACGAUCAGUAGCCGGCCUGAGAGGGUGGACGGCCACAUUGGGACUGAGACACGGCCCAGACUCCUACGGGAGGCAGCAGUGGGGGAUAUUGCACAAUGGGGGAACCCUGAUGCAGCGACGCCGCGUGAGCGAAGAAGUACCUCGGUAUGUAAAGCUCUAUCAGCAGGGAAGAAAAUGACGGUACCUGACUAAGAAGCCCCGGCUAAAUACGUG
rnacentral:rRNA from 1 species